GGGGGCACAUGUUCCAGGGUGGCGAGAAACCCUUGCAAGGUUUUUGGGCGGGUUCAAUUCCCGUUGCCUCCACCA
rnacentral:tRNA from 1 species